rnacentral:tRNA from 1 species
GGUGGCUCAGUGGUAGAGUGCUUGCUUAGCAUGCAUGAGGUCCUGAGUUUGAUUCCUCAGCACCA